GUGCGGCUAAUCAAAAGCUAAAUGGCAGCAAAAGUUAUUGUCCUUCAGAUAAAUUCAGUUCACGUCACUUUUCAGUUGAUGGAUACGAAGACCCAGAAACCCCAGCAAUCACGCCACAAGAACGAGCUCUACCCACAUUCAUACUAGAAGUUUACUCUAUCAGUGACUCCAACCACACUGCGCAUUUUGGGGGUAGCACGGAAAAGCAGAUGGAAUAUUUGAUGGCGUAUUGGAACUCUGUGAGUCAGCGAAUGCAACAACUCACCCCUCCUGUGUACAUAGCGCUUGUUGGCCUUGAAAUUUCUUCAACCGAAGCCGAUGAAGAUUAUCUAGAUGGCUGGCCCGGUGACCAACUCGUCGCCAAUGAAACUCUGAUCUCGUUGCACGAUUAUACUUGGUUAACCCGUGACGUAAGAUCGGCAGACAUCGUUUUCUUGAUCACAGGUCGAGACAUUGUAGACUUAAUUCCAGGAGGUGUAAAAACCACUACUGCAGGU